AAAAUGGAGGGGGAGAGCGGCGCGCCCGGCGCGCCAAGCGGCAACGGAGUUCCGGGUCCGAAAGGUGAAGGAGAACGACCUACUCAGAAUGAGAAGAGAAAAGAGAAAAACAUAAAAAGAGGGGGCAAUCGCUUUGAGCCAUAUGCCAAUCCAACCAAAAGAUACAGAGCCUUCAUUACAAACAUACCUUUUGAUGUGAAAUGGCAGUCACUUAAAGACCUGGUUAAAGAAAAAGUUGGUGAGGUAACAUACGUGGAGCUCUUAAUGGACGCUGAAGGAAAGUCAAGGGGAUGUGCCGUUGUUGAAUUCAAGAUGGAAGAGAGCAUGAAAAAAGCUGCUGAAGUUCUAAACAAGCAUAGUCUGAGUGGAAGACCACUGAAAGUCAAAGAAGAUCCUGAUGGUGAACAUGCCAGGAGAGCAAUGCAAAAGGUGAUGGCUACGACUGGUGGGAUGGGUAUGGGACCAGGUGGCCCAGGAAUGAUUAAUAUCCCACCCAGUAUCCUAAAUAAUCCUAACAUCCCAAAUGAGAUUAUCCAUGCAUUACAGGCUGGAAGACUUGGAAGCACAGUAUUUGUAGCAAAUCUGGAUUAUAAAGUUGGCUGGAAGAAACUGAAGGAAGUUUUUAGUAUGGCUGGUGUGGUGGUCCGGGCAUACAUUCUUGAGGAUAAAGAUGGAAAAAGUCGUGGAAUAGGCACUGUUACUUUUGAACAGUCCAUUGAAGCUGUGCAAGCUAUAUCUAUGUUCAAUGGACAACUGCUAUUUGAUAGACCAAUGCAUGUGAAAAUGGAUGAGAGGGCCUUACCAAAGGGAGAUUUUUUCCCUCCUGAGCGUCCACAACAACUUCCCCAUGGACUUGGUGGUAUUGGCAUGGGGUUAGGACCAGGAGGGCAGCCUAUCGAUGCCAAUCACCUAAAUAAAGGCAUUGGCAUGGGAAACAUAGGACCUGCAGGAAUGGGAAUGGAAGGCAUAGGAUUUGGAAUAAAUAAAAUGGGAGGCAUGGAGGGUCCCUUUGGUGGUGGUAUGGAAAACAUGGGUCGAUUUGGAUCUGGGAUGAACAUGGGCAGGAUAAACGAGAUGGAGCGUGGCAUGGGUGGAGGAUUUGAAAGAGACUUUGCCAGAAACGAGAUGGGAAUGUCUCGAAGCUUUGGAGAGCCCCUUGGCAGAGGAAUGGAAAUCCUAAGUAAUGCACUGAAGAGAGGAGAGAUCAUUGCAAAGCAGGGAGGAGCUUUUCUAUGCUCUGGAGAUGCUAAGGAAAUGCAGCCAGAUUGGCCACCAGCAGGGCCUCUUAAAGGGACAAGUUGGGAGAGGUUAAAGGUGGUGGAGGUGGAGGCAGUGUCCCUGGGAUCGAGAGGAUGGGCCCCGGCAUUGAUCGCAUUGGGGGUGCUGGCAUGGAGCGCAUGGGCACAGGCCUGGGCCAUGGCAUGGAUCGUGUGGGCUCUGAAAUUGAGCGUAUGGGCCUGGUCAUGGACCGCAUGGGCUCUGGCAUCGAGCGCAUGGGCACACUGGGCCUCGACCACAUGGCCUCCAGCAUCAAGCGCAUGGGCCAGACCAUGGAGCGCAUUGGAUCUGGCGUGGAGCGCAUGGGUGCCGGCAUGGGCUUUGGCCUGGAGCGCAUGGCCGCACCCAUUGAUCGUGUGGGCCAGACCAUUGAGCGCAUGGGCUCUGGUGUGGAGCGUAUGGGCCCUGCCAUUGAGCGCAUGGGCCUGAGCAUGGAUCGCAUGGUGCCCGCAGGCAUGGGGGCUGGCCUGGAGCGUAUAGGCCCUGUGAUGGAUCGCAUGGCCACCGGCCUGGAGCGCAUGGGCGCCAACAACCUGGAGCGCAUGGGCCUGGAGCGAAUGGGCGCCAACAGUCUUGAGCGCAUGGGCCUGGAGCGCAUGGGUGCCAACAGCCUGGAGCGCAUGGGUCCCGCCAUGGGCCCGGCCCUGGGCGCUGGCAUUGAGCGCAUGGGCCUGGCCAUGGGUGGCGGUGGCAGUGCCAGCUUUGACCGUGCCAUCGAGAUGGAGCGUGGCAACUUGGGAGGAAGCUUCGCAGGUUCCUUCGGUGGAGCUGGAGGCCAUGCUCCUGGGGUGGCCAGAAAGGCCUGCCAGAUAUUUGUGAGAAAUCUCCCAUUUGAUUUUACAUGGAAAAUGCUAAAGGACAAAUUCAACGAAUGUGGCCACGUGCUGUAUGCGGACAUCAAGAUGGAGAAUGGGAAGUCCAAGGGGUGCGGUGUGGUUAAGUUUGAAUCUCCAGAGGUGGCUGAGAGAGCCUGCCGGAUGAUGAAUGGGAUGAAGCUGAGUGGCCGAGAGAUUGAUGUUCGAAUCGAUAGAAAUGCUUAAGCAGUUGCCUUUUUUAAACAUUGAUACCAGACCUCUAAAUUUGUAUUUUUUCUUGUUAACCAUUUUAAUUUGUUGGCUGGAUGUAUAAAGAUGUUUAAAAAAUUCAGUUGCUUUUUGGGGUAAUUUGAAUUACUUUUUUAAUGACUGGGGUUCCAUUUGACUGUUUGCAUUGAGAUUGCAAUGUGCGCAAUUUUUUUUGUAGUUGUGGCAUCUUGUUGACAUCAAAUAUGACUUUGAUAAUAAAUACCAGUUCCUGAAAUCUG